rnacentral:rRNA from 1 species
UGGAGGGGGGGCGGCCAACACAUGCAAGUCGAACGGUACAGGAAGCAGCUUGCUGCUUUGCUGACGAGUGGCGGACGGGUGAGUAAUGUCUGGGAAACUGCCUGAUGGAGGGGGAUAACUACUGGAAACGGUGGCUAAUACCGCAUAACGUCGCAAGACCAAAGAGGGGGACCUUCGGGCCUCUUGCCAUCAGAUGUGCCCAGAUGGGAUUAGCUUGUUGGUGAGGUAACGGCUCACCAAGGCGACGAUCCCUAGCUGGUCUGAGAGGAUGACCAGCCACACUGGAACUGAGACACGGUCCAGACUCCUACGGGAGGCAGCAGUGGGGAAUAUUGCACAAUGGGCGCAAGCCUGAUGCAGCCAUGCCGCGUGUAUGAAGAAGGCCUUCGGGUUGUAAAGUACUUUCAGCGGGGAGGAAGGUGUUGUGGUUAAUAACCGCACAAUUGACGUUCCCGCAGAAAAGCACCGGCUAACUCCGUGCAGCAGCCGCGGUAAACGGAGGGUGCAGCGUUAUCGGAAUUACUGGGCUAAAGCGCACGCAGGCGGUCUGUCAAGUCGAUGUGAAAUCCCGGGCUCAACCUGGGAACUGCAUUCGAAACUGAGGCUUGAUCUUGUAGAGGGGGGUAGAAUUCCAGGGUAGCGGUGAAAGCGAAAAAAUUUGAA